UGGCGGACGGGUAAGUAAUGUCUGGGAAACUGCCCGAUGGAGGGGGAUAACUACUGGAAACGGUAGCUAAUACCGCAUAACGUCGCAAGACCAAAGAGGGGACCUUCGGGCCUCUUGCCAUCGGAUGUGCCCAGAUGGGAUUAGCUAGUAGGUGGGGUAACGGCUCACCUAGGCGACGAUCCCUAGCUGGUCUGAGAGGAUGACCAGCCACACUGGAACUGAGACACGGUCCAG
rnacentral:rRNA from 1 species